AUGUACUCCGAAUAUUCGCCGACGUCCUCCUCCAGCUCAUCAGGUUCUCCGGUGGAAUUUAAGCCAGACAAGAGUCAACUUAAUUCGUCGGAAAAAUGUGCAAUUUGUGGAAAUCUUGCUUUUUGCUACAACUAUGGUGUGAGUUUUAAAACAAAUUCCAAUUUUCUCAUUGUUACGCCAAAAAAAAAAAGUUUCCGGAAAUUAAUAUAGAACUAUAGAUAAAUAUUUGCAGUUUCUGAAAAGAACUUCACUCUCAAUUAAACGUUUUUGGAAUUCCUUACUUAAGUUGACUUAAGUUGAUCAAAAACUGGCAGUUUUUGAGUCACUUCGAAACUUCCUAAUCAGGGGUGCGCGGCAAUUGCCGAACGGCAAUUCUACAAAAUGAGACCGUUGGGCAUAUUCCCCCGAAAUUUUUCAUUAAAAUUUAAUGAUACAAUAUAGUAAAAUAUUUGCUCUAUCUGAAAAUGACUUUUAUUUGACUUGAAACAAUCGAGAAAGUGUUCAAAAAUUGUCUGAAAGUUGAAAAUUGCCGGUGAAAAUCGCCGAAAAAUUGACGGCAAUGCUACAACUACAACUUGCUACAACUAUGGUGUUCUCUCGUGCAACGCGUGCAAAAUGUUCUUCCGACGAGUCGAGGUAGACCGAAUUACCUACCAUUGUAAAUAUUGGGAUAGAUGCUACGACGGUCAAGAGUUUGUCAAUGUCAAAAAAUUCUCAAAACGAUGUCGAGCUUGCCGAUAUCAGCGGUGUCUUCAAGUCGGCAUGAAGUAUAUUUGUCCCGGAAAACUGGAACUCGAGCUGCUGAACCGCGUCGACGACGAAACUUGCUCACUGAUCAAAACGUUACUUUUGAUGGAUUCGAAUCGCCGCCACAAAAUCGCUAACUUUUAUACACCCGACGAUUUGACUCUCGUGGAAAUUGUGAAAAACAAUAAAAAGUCAAGAAUGGUGACGAAAAGUGCCACGCAAAUGAUUACGGUUCACGAUUGGACCCUUCUCGGGUUAUAUGUGACAAUUGAAAUGUUUUUGAGCAUGGAAUUUAUGGGAUCCAUAGAUAAUGAGGAUAAAAUAAUUCUCCUCCGCAAUUUUUCUUUCAAGUCCGUUAUUUUAAACAGUGCAAUGCGAUCAUACAGCUCCAAAGUUGACCGAGUAACAACGCCCGAUGGGAUCGAUGUUUAUCCGGACUUUAUGCUACGAAUGUUUUCCCCGGAGUUCGUCAUCGGAAUCCGCAGUCGGCUUAUAGCUCGACUGGCCGAGCUGAAAGUGACCGAUGAAGAGCACAUGCUGCUCAAUGUUCUACUUUUCUGCGAUGCAGCUCUCCACAACCUGUCCGAAAAAGCCGUAACAACAAUCUCAAAGUACCAACAAAUGUACAGCUCCGUCCUUCUUCAAUACUGCCUCCACAGAUACCAACAAUCCGGCCCAUCCCGAUUCGCCGAUCUCUUAUCUCUUUGCCACGUGGUGAAUCGAGCGUCAGAAGAUGUGCAGCACCUCACUACGAUCAUACAACUUCACCAACCGAAAACUGAGUACAAACAGCUUUUCGUUGAUGUAUGCCAUAGAUUAUGA
rnacentral:misc_RNA from 1 species